rnacentral:rRNA from 1 species
UACAGAGGGUGCAAGCGUUGUUCGGAAUUAUUGGGCGUAAAGGGCGCGUAGGCGGUGCGGUAAGUCUGUAGUGAAAUCUCUGGGCUCAACUCAGAGUCUGCUGCAGAAACUGCCGUGCUUGAGUGUGGGAGAGGUGAGUGGAAUUCCCGGUGUAGCGGUGGAAUGCGUAGAUAUCGGGAGGAACACCUGUGGCGAAAAGCGGCUCACUGGACCACAACUGACGCUGAGGCGCGAAAGCUAGGGGAGCAAACA